rnacentral:rRNA from 1 species
GAUGAACGCUGGCGGCGUGCCUAAUACAUGCAAGUCGAGCGAACGGACGAGAAGCUUGCUUCUCUGAUGUUAGCGGCUGACGGGUGAGUAACACGUGGAUAACCUACCUCUAAUACUGGGAUAACUUCGGGAAACCGGAGCUAAUACCGGAUAAUAUUUUGUACCGCAUGGUUCAAAAGUGAUAGACGGUCUUGCUGUCACUUAUAGAUGGUUCCGCGCUGCAUUAGCUAGUUGGUAAGGUAACGGCUUACCAAGGCAACGAUGCAUAGCCGACCUGAGAGGGUGAUCGGCCACACUGGAACUGAGACACGGUCCAGACUCCUACGGGAGGCAGCAGUAGGGAAUCUUCCGCAAUGGGCGAAAGCCUGACGGAGCAACGCCGCGUGAGUGAUGAAGGUCUUCGGAUCGUAAAACUCUGUUAUUAGGGAAGAACAUAUGUGUAAGUAACUGUGCACAUCUUGACGGUACCUAAUCAUAAAGCCACGGCUAACUACGUG